UAUUGGCUUAGUUAGGAGGCAAAGAUUAAUGGACCAAUUAUUGGUCUUCUUAGGGCUUUUGAGGGGACUCUUGGUUUUCGAUUGAUAGUCCUCCAAGCAGCCUUAGGACAUAA